rnacentral:rRNA from 1 species
UUGAACGCUGGCGGCAGGCCUAACACAUGCAAGUCGAGCGGAUGAAGGGAGCUUGCUCCUGGAUUCAGCGGCGGACGGGUGAGUAAUGCCUAGGAAUCUGCCUGGUGGUGGGGGAUAACGUCCGGAAACGGGCGCUAAUACCGCAUACGUCCUGAGGGAGAAAGUGGGGGAUCUUCGGACCUCACGCUAUCAGAUGAGCCUAGGUCGGAUUAGCUAGUUGGUGGGGUAAAGGCCUACCAAGGCGACGAUCCGUAACUGGUCUGAGAGGAUGAUCAGUCACACUGGAACUGAGACACGGUCCAGACUCCUACGGGAGGCAGCAGUGGGGAAUAUUGGACAAUGGGCGAAAGCCUGAUCCAGCCAUGCCGCGUGUGUGAAGAAGGUCUUCGGAUUGUAAAGCACUUUAAGUUGGGAGGAAGGGCAGUAAGUUAAUACCUUGCUGUUUUGACGUUACCAACAGAAUAAGCACCGGCUAACUUCGUG